AAAUUGAAGAGUUUGAUCAUGGCUCAGAUUGAACGCUGGCGGCAGGCCUAACACAUGCAAGUCGAACGGUAACAGGAAGCAGCUUGCUGCUUCGCUGACGAGUGGCGGACGGGUGAGUAAUGUCUGGGAAACUGCCUGAUGGAGGGGGAUAACUACUGGAAACGGUGGCUAAUACCGCAUAACGUCGCAAGACCAAAGAGGGGGACCUUCGGGCCUCUUGCCAUCAGAUGUGCCCAGAUGGGAUUAGCUAGUUGGUGAGGUAACGGCUCACCAAGGCGACGAUCCCUAGCUGGUCUGAGAGGAUGACCAGCCACACUGGAACUGAGACACGGUCCAGACUCCUACGGGAGGCAGCAGUGGGGAAUAUUGCACAAUGGGCGCAAGCCUGAUGCAGCCAUGCCGCG
rnacentral:rRNA from 3 species